CUGAACAGGCGGGCCUCGAUCCCGCAAACACUAGUUAACAGCUAACAGCCCAAACCAGCGGGCUUCAAUUCG
rnacentral:tRNA from 1 species